GGGGCCAUGGCCCAGUGGUAGAGCCUCGACUUGGCAUGCAUAAGGUCCCAGGUUCGAUCCCAGGCAUCUCCA
rnacentral:tRNA from 1 species